CAGUCGCCGCGGUAAUACGAAGGGGGCUAGCGUUGCUCGGAAUCACUGGGCGUAAAGGGUGCGUAGGCGGGUCUUUAAGUCAGGGGUGAAAUCCCAGAGCUCAACUCUGGAACUGCCUUUGAUACUGGGUAUCUUGAGUAUGGAAGAGGUGAGUGGAAUUCCGAGUGUAGAGGUGAAAUUCGUAGAUAUUCGGAGGAACACCAGUGGCGAAGGCGGCUCACUGGUCCAUUACUGACGCUGAGGUGCGAAAGCGUGGGGAGCAAACAGGAUUAGAUACCCGAGUAGUCCCUGUCUCUUAUAA
rnacentral:rRNA from 1 species